GACGAACGCUGGCGGCGUGCUUAACACAUGCAAGUCGAACGGAAAGGCCCUGCUUUUGUGGGGUGCUCGAGUGGCGAACGGGUGAGUAACACGUGAGUAACCUGCCCUUGACUUUGGGAUAACUUCAGGAAACUGGGGCUAAUACCGGAUAGGAGCUCCUGCUGCAUGGUGGGGGUUGGAAAGUUUCGGCGGUUGGGGAUGGACUCGCGGCUUAUCAGCUUGUUGGUGGGGUAGUGGCUUACCAAGGCUUUGACGGGUAGCCGGCCUGAGAGGGUGACCGGCCACAUUGGGACUGAGAUACGGACCAGACUCCUACGGGAGGCAGCAGUGGGGAAUAUUGCACAAUGGGCGGAAGCCUGAUGCAGCAACGCCGCGUGCGGGAUGACGGCCUUCGGGUUGUAAACCGCUUUCGCCUGUGACGAAGCGUGAGUGGCGGUAAUGGGUAAAGAAGCACCGGCUAACUACGUG
rnacentral:rRNA from 1 species